rnacentral:rRNA from 1 species
GUGGGGAAUUGUUCACAAUGGGCGCAAGCCUGAUGACGCAACGCCGCGUGGAGGAUGAAGGUCUUCGGAUUGUAAACUCCUGUUGCCCGGGACGAAAAGCUUCGACCUAACACGUCGAAGUCUGACGGUACCGGGUGAGGAAGCCCCGGCUAACUCUGUGCCAGCAGCCGCGGUAAUACAGAGGGGGCAAGCGUUGUUCGGAAUUACUGGGCGUAAAGGGCGCGUAGGUGGCCUUCUAAGUUGAACGUGAAAUCCCUGGGCUCAACCCAGGAACUGCGUCCAAGACUGGGAGGCUUGAAUCCGGGAGAGGGAUGCGGAAUUCCAGGUGUAGCGGUGAAAUGCGUAGAUAUCUGGAGGAACACCGGUGGCGAAGGCGGCAUCCUGGACCGGUAUUGACACUGAGGCGCGAAAGCCAGGGGAGCAAACGGGAUUAGAAACCCUAGUAGUCC